CCUACGGGGGGCAGCAGUGAGGAAUAUUGGUCAAUGGACGAGAGUCUGAACCAGCCAAGUAGCGUGAAGGAUGACUGCCCUAUGGGUUGUAAACUUCUUUUAUAUGGGAAUAAAAUGUUCCACGUGUGGGAUUUUGUAUGUACCAUAUGAAUAAGGAUCGGCUAACUCCGUGCCAGCAGCCGCGGUAAUACGGAGGAUCCGAGCGUUAUCCGGAUUUAUUGGGUUUAAAGGGAGCGUAGGUGGAUUGUUAAGUCAGUUGCGAAAGUUUGCGGCUCAACCGUAAAAUUGCAGUUGAAACUGGCAGUCUUGAGUACAGUAGAGGUGGGCGGAAUUCGUGGUGUAGCGGUGAAAUGCUUAGAUAUCACGAAGAACUCCGAUUGCGAAGGCAGCUCACUGGACUGCAACUGACACUGAGGCUCGAAAGUGUGGGUAUCAAACAGGAUUAGAUACCCGAGUAGUC
rnacentral:rRNA from 1 species